UUAAGACAGUGCUUACCUCAACAACGUCUUUGAAAGUAGACAUUCUAAGACGUUGCUGAUAUAAGCACCGUCUUAAAAUGCGUACUUUCAAAGACGUUGCUGAUGUAAGCACCGUUUUU
rnacentral:pre_miRNA from 3 species